AUUUGAGUUGCAGGCUUUCGUAGAAUCACAGAAUCACAAGGUUGGAAAGGACCUACAAGAUCAUCUAGUCCAACCGUCCUCCCAACACCACUGCUGCCACAAGUCACUAAACCAUAUCUUGUAGCUCCUCAUCCAGACGCCUCUUGAACACUGCCAGGAAUGGCGACUCCACCACCUCCCUGGGCAGGCCAUUCCAGUGCCUGACCACUCUCUGAGAGGAAAAGUUUUUCCUUAUGUCUAAUCUAAACCUCCCCUGGUGCAACUCGUGGCCAUUUCCUCGGGGUCUGCUUGUUGCCUGGGAGGAGAGGCCAAAUCCCUCCUCAUCACAACCUCCCUUCAGGAAGUUGUAGAGUGCAAUGAGGUCUCCCCUGUGCCUCCUCUUCUCCAGACUAAACAAUCCCAGCUCCCUCAGCCGCUCCUCAUAAGAUUUGUGCUUUCACACCUCAGUUUAAGGAACAUAAAAAGAACGAGUCGUUUCUCAACAUAGAAGAAUAGAAAAGAAAAAAAAAAGAAAAAGAACAAUAAAUUUCUGAAGAUAUCUGGAGUCUAAAAACAUUGCAGCUCGUUCAGGCUUCUGGAUCCUAACACAAAGUGAGGCCUAGGAUUGCAGCCAACAAACCAGAUGGAGAUCUGCUGGACAUCACAUCUCUUGAACAGACUUUUGUUCAGUUCAAGAUGACUAGUCACAUGCUGCUGGGGUGUGCUUUUCAGUGCUGUGACUUUUCUCUGCCCAAGGUGGAUGUUCACAGGGAUUUUGGAACACCAGUUUUCCAUACCUUUUUUUAGGGCUGGCUCUUUUUAUCUUCCAGAGCAUCUCUUCAAAAUCUUUGGACAAAUCUGAUACAAGGCCUAUCUGAAAGUCAGGAAAUCUGGGUUUUACAGAUCCCUAUUGUUGAUGACCAGGAAUUGCUGCCAUAUGUAGUGAAUGCUGCCAAGAACUACAGUCCAGAGAUGGUUUCAAAGCUGUAAUACCAGCAUUUUGAUGGAAGCAUUCCCUUGCAAUCACUUAGAAACUUGCUUCUUUAUCUUACUACAUGUUUUACCCUGCAUUUCUUUUCUGCACAAAUUCUCAUCCUUCUGUCCCUCCCUUUUAAUUUUCUGUUCUUUAUGUUCACAUUUAUUCUUUGAUCUUUUCCAGUUCCAGUAACCCUUCCUACUCUGUACCACAUGAAAAGGCUUGGAGAGCAUAUAUUUGAUACUCAGAGGUCUGGUAUGGCAGGGCCCAUGACCGCAGUCACAAUGGAGAGAAAUUUGGGCUGAUGGACUGCUGCUGGAGCUGGUCAUCAUAGCUAUGUGAGCUGCCACAGCUGGCUGUGUUCCCAUAACAACAUGGCUUGUUGCCAUAAUAAUACAACAGGAACAUGAGUAUUGUACAGGGACCUACCUUGAUCUAUAGCUGCAGUGGCACUGUGACUGGCAUUCAUAAGGAAUGAGCAGACUUAUGGUCAUUCAGUUGUAUCCACUUACAUUAAUCUCACGACAAACACUGGAGAGUGAAAUGUGAAUUCAUGCAUUUUAGUUAUAUAGCUACAUACAUCUGAGCUAUAGCUAGAUGUCAACAUUCUUAUGUAUUCAUGUUUUCACACUGGCUUUGCACAGCAUUUGUGUCACUACAAAAGAGCCUUUAAAAAUUUACCAGAACUCCAGCUAGUGUAAAUCAACAUAGCUCCACUGAAAUGUUUUGCCUUGACAUUGGUGUGAAUAUAUUUCAGACCCGAAUGACAUAAGCUACACUUACAUCUGAAUGCAAAAACAUCAUAAAAUAACUAAUGUAUUUCUGUACCAAAACAAGCUUAGGUGAAAGCAAACCAAUGAGUCUAUCUUCCAUGAGACUGCCAAUUUUUUGCUGUUGGUGUUUAAGAGACAUGAAUGACACACAAAAUUUGCCAUGGAAAUCAAACAUACAAUUAUUAAAAUUGACACUCUCUUGCUAAAGAUUUUUUUACCAGUUCUCAUCCAUACGACUAAGGUUUUGCUUAUCUGAAGGUUAGAACCAGAGUAUUAUGCACUGGUAGAGUAAUAAUUUUUAUUGAACUUAGUAACAUAAUAGGCUGAUUUUUUCCAGUCUGAAGGAUAGGUCAAUUUGUAUUGAAUCUGCAUGGUUUCUCUUUAAAGCCCUUUGAAGAAAACACAUGCUUUUUGUAGGGAACCAUAAAGUAGAUUUAAGCUGAUACUGCCACUAUGUAGAAGGCAAAUUGCCAGCACUGCUGACAUCUAUGAGUACAUAAACUGAGUAACCCUUAAAACUCCCUCAGAGUCCUGCAAUCUAUUCCUUCUGCAUGCCUUGGCUGCUAGCUCCUCUUCCAGACAUCCUUCAGCACUUAUCUAUCAGGCACAGCCUGAACUUUCAGGAUCUCAUCUUUGCCUGGUGCCUAAACAGGAACUUUUUCCUUUAGCUUGAACACAACUUGUGCCAGGCUUCAACUGAGUAAGUAACAACAGAGAGGUGGAGUCCUGUCUGUAGGUGGUUGAUCCAAGAAAGGUGCAAAUGGAGGCGCUGCUAUUCAGAUCCAAGCUCUUCCUUGUCAACCUCCCGCUCUAACAGAUCUGUCUAUAAUGAGACUCUUCACCUUUGAGUACUAUGCCUCAGAAACAGAUUGUAAAUGCGGAGGGCCUCAUGCACAGUACUUUUAAGAAUCUGGCAGCAGACAGGCAGGUGGCAUGCAGAAGCUGGUGCUGCUGCUGGGAAUGGAAGAGGGACGACCCACUUGCACCUUCCCUCCCUUCUACCCACUUUAAAGUUCCUCAGACAUGGUGAGCCAUUUGGAACAGCACUUGCCAGAGUCUGUGGACAGAUAUAGUGUACGUGACAGGGCUUCAGCCCAGGGUGGCAACCACAGGUUCUGCCCAGUGACAGCUCAGAAUAUGUACGUUUACAAAUACCUCUUACAAGUCAGAGUCAAAAGCAGUGUGACAGGUACCUACCGGAGGUACAGUGGUGAGCAGGUAGGGAGGAGAAUGAGGAGCUAGAAGCCUGCCUUCUCUUCCUGCUUCAUUGAUUCACUCCAUUUCUGCACCCUACUCCGUACAAUGGGAGUUCCUAUGCUCACUCUCAGUUAUGAUUAAUUUUCAUGCCCUAAUUUUCAUAAGCAACUAUUAGGCUUGUUCAUGAUUUUGAAAAGCUUUGUCAAGGUGAAAGUUAGACUGAAAUCAUGGUCUGACUUCUUCCCCAGCUCAGCAGAGACUCGACAGUCGGUGGAUACUGAGUCUUCCCAUGUGGUAGGCUAUACCCACUCUUUGAGGUAUAGUAGUUUCAAAAAAUGAGGCCAACUCACCGGUUUGGCAUGUCAGAGAAGAGGAGCAUUCCCACAAGGGAACUUGUCUGCACAACUUGGAUAUUCAAAUUUUGUCAGACAGGAUCUCUCUCCAAGGUAGAGGAGUUUCCUUCUGUCUUGUCUUAGGAACAAUGCAGGCAUGUAGUUUAGGGAAAUCGCUUCAUUAAGUACUUAAGUGUAGGGAUAAGGCAGGUGCCACGGCUUGGUGGAUUAGAACAUCGCUAUGAAAACAUCAAGUGAUCAAGGAUGGACCACAGCAUGAUGCAAGCCCUUAGCACAAAUAGUUGUGUUCUCUCCCUUUUAUGACUUCAUGUGUAUGUUUCCUGGGUUGAUUAAGAACGAGUGUAUCAGAACCCCAAGCUGAAAUGCCCUCUGUAAGCGCCCUCUGUUUCUCUUUCAACAGUGAAACCACAGUGAGUGCAACUUGUCUGUGCUAAAGGCAACCUUGGCAAACAUCUCCUUAUCAGCUGGAGAAAUCCUUGAACAACCAAAUUACAGCCUGAUUUCACAUAAUUGUUGUUAGUCAGGAAAGAUUCGUAAGCAUAUGUGUAACUUAGCAUGAACUGUGUUACUUACUUAC
ensembl:lncRNA